CUUACCUCCCCUGGUUGCGUCCGUUGCCCUCCCGACGAACUUAAUUCGGCCGGCCGCGUACGACCGCAGGGAAGGGUAACUUUCCGUGGGUUAGUAGGCGGGUAAGAAAUGGCGUAAGGAGAUCGAAGGGAAAGAACAGUUCGGGUGGACGGAAGGCGCUCUGCGUCGGACCAAUACUGACACCUGACGGGAACGAANCGGUAGGGNGACAGUGGUAUAGACCACCCAGGUCUCACGACCGUAAACAGUGAUACGUAGGUUGUUGUCUGUAUCCGGACCGACAGCGCGAGACACGUAGUUAAUCUCCCNCGGUGGGAGCGCNCANAGUGANAACUAGAAAGUAUGGACGGGGCCCGCACAAGCGGUGGAGUAUGUGGUUUAAUUCGAUGCAACGCGAAGAACCUUACCAGGACUUGACAU
rnacentral:misc_RNA from 1 species